GCGCGGGGCCGGAGCCCUGGUCCUCAGAGGAGGCCGGCGAUGGCGGCGGCCGGGGGUGCUUCGCCGGAGCCAGCGGCUGCGGAGCAGCCGGCGGAGCUGCCUGCCUCGGUGCGGGCGAGCAUCGAGCGGAAGCGGCAGCGGGCGCUGAUGCUGCGCCAGGCCCGGCUGGCGGCCCGGCCCUACCCGGGGGCGGCGGCGGCUGCGGCUACCGGAGGUAUGGCUAAUGUAAAAGCAGCUCCAAAGAUAAUUGACACAGGAGGAGGCUUCAUUCUGGAAGAGGAAGAAGAAGAAGAACAUACAAUUGAAAAAGUCAUUCAUCAACCAGGACCCGUUAUGGAGUUUGAUUAUACGAUAUGUGAAGAAUGUGGUAAAGAGUUUAUGGAUUCUUACCUGAUGAACCACUUUGAUUUGGCAACUUGUGACAACUGCAGAGAUGCUGAUGAUAAACAUAAGCUUAUAACUAAAACAGAAGCAAAACAAGAAUACCUUCUGAAAGACUGUGAUUUAGAAAAAAGAGAACCAGCUCUUAAAUUUAUUGUGAAGAAGAAUCCUCAUCAUUCACAGUGGGGUGAUAUGAAACUCUACUUAAAAUUACAGAUUGUGAAAAGGUCUCUUGAAGUUUGGGGUAGUCAGGAAGCAUUAGAAGAAGCAAAGGAAGUUCGACAGGAAAACCGAGAAAAAAUGAAACAGAAGAAGUUUGACAAAAAAGUAAAAGAGGUUGGUGGAUAUGCUCCUGUCCUCCUGAAUAGGCCACAAAGGGCUGAGAGUGGAGGAGACACUGUAGAGAGUAGAAACAAGGAGCUUACUAUGCAGUUUGCCCAGAAGGCUCAGGACAGAGGGCAGUAAAAGCAAGUCUAAACGUUUUUUAGUUGAAAAGAAAUUGGAACCUGGUUCCUCUUGGUCUUCUGAUUUUGAUCCACAAAGAAGCUGACACAAAGUUUACUUCUUUAUGGAAAGAAUUACGGCGAGCAGUCAGAAGCAGUGUGUGGAAAAGGGAAACAGUUGCUCAUCAACAUGAGUACGGACCAGAAGAAAACAUAGAAGAUGACAUGUAUCGGAAGACUUGUACUGUGUGUGGCCAUGAACUGACAUAUGAGAAAAUGUGACUUUUACUUAAGCGAUCUGUUUUACAGUGUUUUGUAUUUAAAUAAGGGAAGUUUAGAUUGGUCCUGUUCAAAGUUAACCAAAAUGUAACAUGUCCAUAGAUGAAUGAAACCCUUGUAUAAAUAAUGCUUCAGUAAUAUCUAUGUGGUGGCUUGGGAGCAAGUUUAAGUCCGGCAGGUCAGGUGUGGAUAAAAUACUGGGUCUGUGAUCGUUUUUUUUUCUACAACAGGGAUGGAAGCUGAGUGGUAGAGUAGGUUCAAAAGUGUUAGGUCAGAGCCAAAGUUGAGAACUAAGAAACCAAGGCAAACCCUACACUGAGGCAGGAGGAAGAGCUUGUAAUCAAGGCAAAAGCUGGCUGAACUGGAUUCUCACCCCAAGAACCAACAGGGAUGGUGGCAGACCACUGCACCCCAGGGGCUGGGCCACGUCUCCAAGUCAGGGAGCUACUGCUGGGACAAAUCCUGACCAACAGUAGGACUAAACAAUGAGCUGUGGGAGCCUGACCCUAACAUUAAUGUCUAGAUAGCUCUCUUCAAAGACGGAUUCAAGUGGAAACCAGCUAUACUGUUUGUGGAUCAAAGGUGCUGACAGUAGGUUUAUCAUAACCUGCUGUCGUUUCCUGAGCACUUACCUUGUGCCAGGCGAGCACUGUGCUGAGUGCCUUCCAGGUAUUCUCAUUUAAUCCUGGGAGGGAGGGCCACUCGCUUCUGUGCUUAUUUAGCACUUCUAAAGGAAGUGAGAACCUACAACCUGACAUCAUCCAGACAUCUGGAUCAAAUUGAGCUAGCCAAAUUUUCCCCUAUCUUGUCAAAAGGAUCACAAGGUAGUCACAGCUAGUAAGAGGAUUUGAUCCCAUGAGCUUGAUUAUAGGGUCUAUGCAUUUUUUUUUGGACAAAAACAAAUUCAAGUUAAAGUGGAUAUUUUCAAGUUGUUCUUUGACAUGACUUCUUAUCCUACUGCUACAAAUAGAAGAAAGAGGAAGUGUAUACAUUUUUCUUUCUAGAUCGAUCAGCUCUUGGAGUUUAUGCUUGAAGAAAGGUGAACGUCAAAACAAGUCAAACCCAAAUAGGCUUGAGACUAUAAUUACUAAUUGUUCUCUGUAGGAGUAUUCAAUACAGAAAUGCUUAAUCUA